AGCUAAUAGAUACCCAGGUAGUCCACGCCCUAAACGAUGUCUACUAGUUGUUGGUGGAGUAAAAUCCAUGAGUAAACGCAGCUAACGCGUGAAGUAGACCGCCUGGGGGAGUACGGUCGCAAGAUUAAACUACAAGGAAUUGACGGGGGCCCGGCACAAGCGGUGGAUUAUGUGGAUCAAUUCGAUGCAACGCGAAAACCUUAACCUGGCCUUGACAUGCCACUAACGAAGCAGAGAUGCAUUAGGUGCCCGUAAGGGAAAGUGGACACAGGUGCUGCAUGGCUGUCGUCAGCUCGUGUCGUGAGAUGUUGGGUUUAAGUCCCGCAACGAGCGCAACCCUUGCCAUUAAUUGCCAUCAUUUAGUUGGGGCACUUUAAUGGGACUGCCGGUGACAAACCGGAGGAAGGUGGGGAUGACGUCAAGUCCUCAUGGCCCUUAUGGCCUGGGCUUCACACGUAAUACAAUGGUCGGUACAGAGAGUUGCCAACCCGCGAGGGGGAGCUAAUCUCAGAAAGCCGAUCGUAGUCCGGAUUGUUCU
rnacentral:rRNA from 1 species